rnacentral:rRNA from 1 species
UACGUAGGGUGCGAGCGUUGUCCGGAAUUAUUGGGCGUAAAGGGCUCGUAGGCGGUUUGUCGCGUCGGGAGUGAAAACCUACAGCUUAACUGUGGGCUUGCUUUCGAUACGGGCAGACUAGAGGUAUGCAGGGGAGAACGGAAUUCCUGGUGUAGCGGUGAAAUGCGCAGAUAUCAGGAGGAACACCAAUAGCGAAGGCAGCUCGCUGGGACGGUACUGACGCUAAGGCGCGAAAGCGUGGGGAGCGAACAGG